rnacentral:tRNA from 1 species
UCCCUUGUAGCUCAGUCGGUAAAGAAUCUGCCUGCAGUGCAGGAGACCUAGGUUCGAUCCCUGGGUUGGGAA